UUCAUCAUGUCUUUACAUUUUAUAUUUUUCAGUUAAAAUAUUCAAACUGAACAACGUCACUGACUGGUGUUUACAGUAACUUGGAAUCAUGUUUUAUGUUGUUAAGGAACACUUCCACCUAUAUCAGAGAAAAUAGACCAACUGACCUGCAGCUGAACCAUGAAAGAUGUCAUAUGAGCAUUUAAUGAAGGUCUUCUCCUGGGAACGAAGGUCAUAGAGGAAUCCUGGUGCAUUAUGGGAGAGGAUGGAUCCUUCAGUGAGGUCCUCUGGAAUACAGAGAAGCUGAGCAUUGAGAGCAGAAGCUGACCGAGUGUUUGAAGUCUUACAGUGAUCUGUGGUGCCAAUCAUUUCCUGCAUUUUACUCGACUGGACAAAAAGGCAAGCCUAGCUCAGGUUGUGUUGCACUGCAGCUCAGUUCCUGCAGUUCCUGGAUGUGUCCACAAGGUGGCGUUACAGCUUCAUAAACAUUUAAACAAGUCUUUUUUUGUUGUCUGUUAUAACUUAUAUUACUACAUAUAUACUGAAGGCUGUAUUAACUGAUAAACUGUUUUAAACGUCUGUUGUUAGAAAAGUGUACAGAUCUGAGCACUGAACAAUGCUCAUGGCAGCUCGCUGUGACCCACCCAUCUACCUUAAUUGCAAUUAAAAGUAAAUAUUAUCAUGGUGCCUUGCAGUCAAAAUAAGAUUUCACAACUUUUACAGAUUUCAGAUAUGCCUGUUUCAAUAAUUGAAGUAUGUACUGUAUG